CCUACGGGUGGCAGCAGUAGGGAAUAUUGCUCAAUGGGGGAAACCCUGAAGCAGCAACGCCGCGUGGAGGAUGAAGGUUUUCGGAUUGUAAACUCCUUUUGUUAGAGAAGAUAAUGACGGUAUCUAACGAAUAAGCACCGGCUAACUCCGUGCCAGCAGCCGCGGUAAUACGGAGGGUGCAAGCGUUACUCGGAAUCACUGGGCAGAAAGAGCGCGUAGGCGGGAUAGCAAGUCAGAUGUGAAAUCCUAUGGCUUAACCAUAGAACUGCAUUUGAAACUGUUAUUCUAGAGUAUGGGAGAGGUAGGUGGAAUUCUUGGUGUAGGAGUAAAAUCCGUAGAGAUCAGGAGGAAUACUCAUUGCGAAGGCGACCUGCUGGAACAUAACUGACGCUGAUGCGCGAAAGCGUGGGGAGCAAACAGGAUUAGAUACCCUUGUAGUC
rnacentral:rRNA from 1 species